UACGUAGGGGGCAAGCGUUUGUCCGGAAUCAUUGGGCGUAAAGAGCGUGUAGGCGGCUUGGCAAGUCUGGUGUGAAAUCUUGCGGCUCAACCGCAAGCGGUCACUGGAAACUGCCUCGCUAGAGUCCGGAAGAGGAGAGCGGAAUUCCUGGUGUAGCGGUGAAAUGCGUAGAUAUCAGGAGGAACACCUGCGGUGUAGACGGCUUACUGGACCAUAACUGACGCUGAGGCACGAAAGCGUGGGGAGCAAACAGG
rnacentral:rRNA from 1 species